rnacentral:rRNA from 1 species
GACGGAGGAUGCGAGCGUUGUCCGGAAUCACUGGGCGUAAAGGGCGCGUAGGCGGCCCGGCAAGUCAGUGGUGAAAGCCCGAGGCUCAACUUCGGGUCGGCCACUGAUACUGCGGGCUCGAGUCGACUAGAGGCAGAUGGAAUUCCGGGUGUAGCGGUGGAAUGCGUAGAGAUCCGGAAGAACACCGGUGGCGAAGGCGGUCUGCUGGGGUCGAACUGACACUGAGAGACGAAAGCUAGGGGAGCGAAUGGG